GACGAACGUUGGCGGCGUGCUUAACACAUGCAAGUCGAACGGUAAGGCUCCAGCUUGCUGGGGUACACGAGUGGCGAACGGGUGAGUAACACGUGGGUGACCUGCCCUGCACUUCGGGAUAAGCCUGGGAAACUGGGUCUAAUACCGGAUAGGACCGCACCGUGAGGGUGUGGUGGAAAGUUUUUUCGGUGUGGGAUGGGCCCGCGGCCUAUCAGCUUGUUGGUGGGGUAAUGGCCUACCAAGGCGGCGACGGGUAGCCGGCCUGAGAGGGUGGACGGCCACAUUGGGACUGAGACACGGCCCAGACUCCUACGGGAGGCAGCAGUGGGGAAUAUUGCACAAUGGGCGGAAGCCUGAUGCAGCGACGCCGCGUGGGGGAUGACGGCCUUCGGGUUGUAAACUCCUUUCACCAUCGACGAAGGGUUUCUGACGGUAGAUGGAGAAGAAGCACCGGCUAACUACGUGCCAGCAGCCGCGGUAAUACGUAGGGUGCGAGCGUUGUCCGGAAUUACUGGGCGUAAAGAGCUCGUAGGUGGUUUGUCGCGUCGUCUGUGAAAUUCCGGGGCUUAACUCCGGGCGUGCAGGCGAUACGGGCAUAACUUGAGUACUGUAGGGGAGACUGGAAUUCCUGGUGUAGCGGUGAAAUGCGCAGAUAUCAGGAGGAACACCGGUGGCGAAGGCGGGUCUCUGGGCAGUAACUGACGCUGAGGAGCGAAAGCAUGGGGAGCGAACAGGAUUAGAUACCCUGGUAGUCCAUGCCGUAAACGGUGGGCGCUAGGUGUGGGUUUCCUUCCACGGGAUCCGUGCCGUAGCUAACGCAUUAAGCGCCCCGCCUGGGGAGUACGGCCGCAAGGCUAAAACUCAAAGGAAUUGACGGGGGCCCGCACAAGCGGCGGAGCAUGUGGAUUAAUUCGAUGCAACGCGAAGAACCUUACCUGGGCUUGACAUAUACAGGAUCGCGCCAGAGAUGGUGUUUCCCUUGUGGCUUGUAUACAGGUGGUGCAUGGUUGUCGUCAGCUCGUGUCGUGAGAUGUUGGGUUAAGUCCCGCAACGAGCGCAACCCUUGUCUUAUGUUGCCAGCACGUUGUGGUGGGGACUCGUAAGAAACUGCCGGGGUUAACUCGGAGGAAGGUGGGGAUGACGUCAAAUCAUCAUGCCCCUUAUGUCCAGGGCUUCACACAUGCUACAAUGGUCGGUACAGUGGGUUGCCAGUCCGUGAGGGCGAGCUAAUCCCGCAAAGCCGGUCUCAGUUCGGAUCGGGGUCUGCAACUCGACCCCGUGAAGUCGGAGUCGCUAGUAAUCGCAGAUCAGCAACGCUGCGGUGAAUACGUUCCCGGGCCU
rnacentral:rRNA from 1 species